GCUGACUUGGCUUAGUGGUUGAGCUGGGAGGUAUGCCCUGGGUUCAAAUCCCAGAAGUCACAUAGAGCG
rnacentral:tRNA from 1 species